CCACCUUCGGGUGGUGGACAGUGGCGGACGGGUGAGUAACACGUAGGAACCUGCCCAGAAGUGGGGGACAACUCCUCGAAAGAGGAGCUAAUACCGCAUACGGUCUUCGGACCAAAGCUUUCGAGCGCUUCUGGAGGGGCCUGCGGCGGAUUAGCUAGUUGGUGGGGUAACGGCCUACCAAGGCAACGAUCUGUAGCUGGUCUGAGAGGACGGUCAGCCACACUGGGACUGAGACACGGCCCAG
rnacentral:rRNA from 1 species